rnacentral:misc_RNA from 1 species
UUUCCGUAGGUGAACCUGCGGAGGGAUCAUUCAUAAUAAGUGUUUAUGGCACUUUUUUAAAUCCAUAUCCACCUUGUGUGCGAUGUCAGGGUUGAUUUUUCUCUCGAGAGGAUCAGCCCCAAACAUCAACUAUAUCUCAACUCUUUGUCUGAAAAAUAUUAUGAAUAAAACAAUUCAAAAUACAACUUUCAACAACGGAUCUCUUGGCUCUC